UUUUCUUCUUCGUUCUCUGACUGCGUGAUUCUGGAUCUUUUCUUCUUCGUGUUCAAUCUUUGUAAUUCUUUUAGUGAGAGGCUUUAGUUGUAUAUAGUGUACGAUCUGAGAGAUUGUAAGAAUUGUAUUCUUCUUGUAAUAUUUAGAGAGGAUCGAGAAAAACUAAGUGAUUUCUCAUACAUUCUGUCACUGUUCUUGGUGAUUU
rnacentral:lncRNA from 1 species